rnacentral:rRNA from 1 species
GACAGAGGGUGCAAACGUUGUUCGGAAUUACUGGGCGUAAAGCGCGUGUAGGCGGCUAUGCAAGUCGGGCGUGAAAUCCCACGGCUCAACCGUGGAAGUGCACCCGAAACUGCGUAGCUAGAGUCCUGGAGAGGAAGGUGGAAUGCUUGGUGUGGAGGUGAAAUUCGUAGAUAUCAAGCGGAACACCGGUGGCGAAGGCGGCCUUCUGGACAGUGACUGACGCUGAGACGCGAAAGCGUGGGGAGCAAACAGG